CUACGGGUUGCUCCAGUGAGGAAUAUUGCACGAUGGGGGGAACCCUGAUGCAGCAACGCCGCGUGGAGGAUGACGCAUUUCGGUGUGUAAACUCCUUUUAUAUGUCAAGAAAAUGACGGUAGCAUAUAAAUAAGCACCGGCUAGCUCCGUGCCAGCAGCCGCGGUAAUACGGAGGGUGCAAGCGUUACUCGGAAUCACUGGGCGUAAAGGACGCGUAGGCGGGUUGGAAAGUCAGGUGUGAAAUCCUACAGCUUAACUGUAGAACUGCACUUGAAACUUCUAAUCUAGAGUAUGGGAGGGGGAGAUGGAAUUAGUGGUGUAGGGGUAAAAUCCGUAGAUAUCACUAGGAAUACCUAAAGCGAAGGCGAUCUCCUGGAACAUUACUGACGCUAAGGCGUGAAAGCGUGGGGAGCAAACAGGAUUAGAUACCCGGGUAGUC
rnacentral:rRNA from 1 species